UACGUAGGGGGCUAGCGUUGUCCGGAAUCAUUGGGCGUAAAGCGCGUGUAGGCGGUCCGGUAAGUCCGCUGUGAAAGUCGGGGGGCUCAACCCUCGGAUGCCGGGUGGAUACUGUCGGGCUUGAGUACGGAAGAGGCGAGUGGAAUUCCUGGUGUAGCGGUGAAAAUGCGCAGAUAUCAGGAGGAACACCAAUUGCGAAAGGCAGCUCGCUGGGACGUUACUGACGCUGAGACGCGAAACGUGGGGAGCAAACGGG
rnacentral:rRNA from 1 species